rnacentral:rRNA from 1 species
CCUACGGGAGGCUGCAGUGAGGAAUAUUGGUCAAUGGACGAGAGUCUGAACCAGCCAAGUAGCGUGAAGGAUGACUGCCCUAUGGGUUGUAAACUUCUUUUAUAAAGGCAUAGAACGAGGCACGUCCUCCUUUUUGCAUGUCCUUUAUGUAUAUGUAUCGGCGAACUCCGUUCCAGCAGCCGCGGUAAUACGGAGGAUGCGAGCGUUAUCCGGAUUUAUUGGGCUUAAAGGGUGCGCAGGCGGAGGCACAAGUCAGCGGUAAAAUCGCGGGGCUCAACCCCGCUCCGCCGUUGAAACUGUGUCCCUUGAGUGCGCGAAGGGUAGGCGGAAUGCGUGGUGUAGCGGUGAAAUGCAUAGAUAUCACGCGGAACUCCGAUCGCGAAGGCAGCCUACCGGCGCGCAACUGACGCUCAGGCACGAAAGCGUGGGUAUCGAACAGGAUUAGAUACCCUUGUAGUC